rnacentral:rRNA from 1 species
CCCAGACUCCUACGGGAGGCAGCAGUGGGGAAUAUUGCACAAUGGGGGAAACCCUGAUGCGGCGACGCCGCGUGAGUGAAGAAGUAUUUCGGUAUGUAAAGCUCUAUCAGCAGGGAAGAAAAUGACGGUACCUGACUAAGAAGCCCCGGCUAACUACGUGCCAGCAGCCGCGGUAAUACGUAGGGGGCAAGCGUUAUCCGGAUUUACUGGGUGUAAAGGGAGCGUAGGUGGCAUGGUAAGCCAGAAGUGAAAACCCGGGGCUCAACCCCGCGGAUUGCUUUUGGAACUAUCAGGCUGGAGUGCUGGAGGGGUAAGCGGAAUUCCUAGUGUAGCGGUGAAAUGCGUAGAUAUUAGGAGGAACACCGGUGGCGAAGGCGGCUUACUGGACGGAAACUGACACUGAGGCUCGAAAGCGUGGGGAGCAAACAGGAUUAGAUACCCGAGUACCA